rnacentral:rRNA from 1 species
UAGGGAAUCUUGCACAAUGGGCGAAAGCCUGAUGCAGCGACGCCGCGUGGGGGAUGAAGGCCCUAGGGUCGUAAACCCCUUUCAGGAGGGACGAAAAUGACGGUACCUCCAGAAGAAGCCCCGGCCAACUACGUGCCAGCAGCCGCGGUAAGACGUAGGGGGCGAGCGUUGUCCGGAUUUAUUGGGCGUAAAGGGCUCGUAGGUGGUUGCGUAAGUCGGAUGUGAAAACUCAGGGCUCAACUCUGAGACGCCAUCCGAUACUGCGCUGACUUGAGUCCGGUAGAGGAGUGUGGAAUUCCUGGUGUAGCGGUGAAAUGCGCAGAUAUCAGGAGGAACACCUAUAGCGAAGGCAGCACUCUGGGCCGGUACUGACACUGAGGAGCGAAAGCGUGGGUAGCAAACAGGAUUAGAUACCCCCGUAGUCC